rnacentral:rRNA from 1 species
GAUGAACGCUGGCGGCGUGCCUAAUACUUGCGAGUCGAGCGAACGGACGAGAAGCUUGCUUUUCUGAUGUUAGCGGCGGACGGGUGAGUAACACGUGGAUAACCUACCUAUAAGACUGGGAUAACUUCGGGAAACCGGAGCUAAUACCGGAUAAUAUUUUGAACCGCAUGGUUCAAAAGUGAAAGACGGUCUUGCUGUCACUUAUAGAUGGAUCCGCGCUGCAUUAGCUAGUUGGUAAGGUAACGGCUUACCAAGGCAACGAUGCAUAGCCGACCUGAGAGGGUGAUCGGCCACACUGGAACUGAGACACGGUCCAGACUCCUACGGGAGGCAGCAGUAGGGAAUCUUCCGCAAUGGGCGAAAGCCUGACGGAGCAACGCCGCGUGAGUGAUGAAGGUCUUCGGAUCCUAAAACUCUGUUAUUAGGGAAGAACAUAUGUGUAAGUAACUGUGCACAUCUUGACGGUACCUAAUCAGAAAGCCACGGCUAACUACGUG